rnacentral:rRNA from 1 species
AGAGUUUGAUCCUGGCUCAGGACGAACGCUGGCGGCGUGCUUAACACAUGCAAGUCGAACGAGGUCCACUGAGUAGCUAUACAAGGGAAGACCUAGUGGCGAACGGGUGAGUAUCACGUGAGAAACCAACCCCGGUCUCUGGGAUAACAGUUGGAAACGACUGCUAAUACUGGAUGUCGUCGUACCCUCGCAUGGGGGGAUGACGAAAGGGUUACCGGAUCGGGACGGUCUCGCGGCCUAUCAGCUUGUUGGGGAGGUAACGGCUCACCAAGGCUUCGACGGGUAGCUGGUCUGAGAGGAUGAUCAGCCACACUGGGACUGAGACACGGCCCAGACUCCUACGGGAGGCAGCAGUGGGGAAUCUUGCGCAAUGGGCGAAAGCCUGACGCAGCAACGCCGCGUGCGGGAUGAAGGCCUUCGGGUUGUAAACCGCUUUUAACAGGAACGAAAAUGACGGUACCUGUAGAAUAAGGUGCGGCCAACUACGUGCCAGCAGCCGCGGUGACACGUAGGCACCAAGCGUUGUCCGGAUUUAUUGGGCGUAAAGAGCUCGUAGGCGGUUCAGUAAGUCGGGUGUGAAAACUCUGGGCUUAACCCAGAGACGCCACUCGAUACUACUGUGACUAGAGUUCGGUAGGGGAGCGGGGAAUUCCUAGUGUAGCGGUGAAAUGCGCAGAUAUUAGGAGGAACACCGGUGGCGAAGGCGCCGCUCUGGGCCGAUACUGACGCUGAGGAGCGAAAGCGUGGGUAGCAAACAGGAUUAGAUACCCUGGUAGUCCACGCCGUAAACGGUGGGCACUAGGUGUGGGCUCCAACCAACGGAGUCCGCGCCGUCGCUAACGCAUUAAGUGCCCCGCCUGGGGAGUACGGCCGCAAGGUUAAAACUCAAAGGAAUUGACG